AACAAACCUGUCAUUGGUACCUGAACUACAUUUCAGUCACUCAGUAAAGUGAUAACUCAAAAUAUCAUUGUCAACAGAUCUGAAGAAAUUGCCACUGCGUCUUUAGACCGUUUUCGUCAGACGAGAGACACAGUUCUGACUCUGAUUACU